GAUCAUGCUCAGGAUGAACGCUAGCUACAGGCUUAACACAUGCAAGUCGAGGGGCAGCGGGAAGUCAGCUUGCUGACUUUGCCGGCGACCGGCGCACGGGUGAGUAACACGUAUCCAACCUCCCGCAUACUCGGGAAUAGCCUUGCGAAAGUAAGAUUAAUGCCCGAUGGUUUCAAGGGAUUGCAUGGUAUCUUGAAUAAAGAUUCAUCGGUAUGCGAUGGGGAUGCG
rnacentral:rRNA from 1 species